ACCUGUAUCGAAAGUGGCUGUGGCAUGGUUGUUGCCAGGUCAUUGAUAAUGCAGGGAAGAUGGAACUGACAGAUUUUCCCUGUGUUUGUUGGGCCGUUCUAUCCCUCUCAAACCCUGUAUCUUUCAGACA
rnacentral:snoRNA from 1 species